GUGAGAUUAUACAUUUUAGAAUAAUGAAAAACCUAGUUAGUCGUUCUGUAUAGUUUCUAAAAGUUGGUUGUAGUAUUAGUAUUUCAAGUAUUCGUCCUGUAGAAAAUUCAAUUAAACGAAAUGGUUUCGUUUUGGCAGUUCUAUAUUAUAAAAUAGUAAACCGGAGAAAGACGUCAUUGGCAAAUCGAAUACCCGGUCCAGAUGGAUUCUUUUUCUUGGGAAUGUUACCAGUUUUACUUGGAGGACCUAAAAAAGUAAUGAUGAAUAUUUUCCAAAUUUCCAGAAAUUACGAAAAUACUUUAUUCAAAUCAUGGGUUAUUAAUCAAUUGUACAUAUUUUCUAAAACACCUGAGGUUGUAGAAGCAGUUCUUACCAAUCCUAAUCUGUUUAACAAAUUUAGA